CCUACGGGAGGCUGCAGUGGGGAAUAUUGGACAAUGGGCGAAAGCCUGAUCCAGCCAUGCCGCGUGUGUGAAGAAGGCCUUCGGGUUGUAAAGCACUUUCAGUGGGGAAGAAAGCCUUGGGCCUAAUACCCUCGAGGAAGGACAUCACCCACAGAAGAAGCACCGACUAACUCCGUGCCAGCAGCCGCGGUAAUACGGAGGGUGCGAGCGUUAAUCGGAAUUACUGGGCGUAAAGCGCGCGUAGGCGGUCUGAUAAGCCGGUUGUGAAAGCCCCGGGCUCAACCUGGGAACGGCAUCCGGAACUGUCAGGCUAGAGUGCAGGAGAGGAAGGUAGAAUUCCCGGUGUAGCGGUGAAAUGCGUAGAGAUCGGGAGGAAUACCAGUGGCGAAGGCGGCCUUCUGGACUGACACUGACGCUGAGGUGCGAAAGCGUGGGUAGCAAACAGGAUUAGAUACCCUAGUAGUC
rnacentral:rRNA from 1 species